CCUGCGGGAGGCAGCAGUGGGGAAUAUUGGGCAAUGGGCGCAAGCCUGACCCAGCAACGCCGCGUGAAGGAAGAAGGCUGUCGGGUUGUAAACGUCUUUUCGCAGGGACGAAGCAAGUGACAGUACCUGAGGAAUAAGCCACGGCUAACUACGGGCCAGCAGCCGCGGUAAUACGUAGGUGGCAAGCGUGAUCCGGAUUUACUGGGUGUAAAGGGCGUGUAGGCGGGACUGCAAGUCAGAUGUGAAAACCACUGGCUCAACCGGUGGCCUGCAUUUGCAACGGUCGUUCUUGAGUACUGGAGCGGCAGCCGGAAUUCCUAGUGUAGCGGUGCAAUGCGUAGAUAUUAGGAGGAACCCCAGUGGCGAAGGCGGUCUGCUGGACCGCAACUGACGCUGAGGCGCGAAAGCGUGGGGAGCAAACAGGAUUAGAUACCCGUGUAGUC
rnacentral:rRNA from 1 species